AUUGAACGCUGGCGGCAGGCCUAACACAUGCAAGUCGAGCGGAUGAAGGGAGCUUGCUCCUGGAUUCAGCGGCGGACGGGUGAGUAAUGCCUAGGAAUCUGCCUGGUAGUGGGGGAUAACGUCCGGAAACGGGCGCUAAUACCGCAUACGUCCUGAGGGAGAAAGUGGGGGAUCUUCGGACCUCACGCUAUCAGAUGAGCCUAGGUCGGAUUAGCUAGUUGGUGGGGUAAAGGCCUACCAAGGCGACGAUCGGUAACUGGUCUGAGAGGAUGAUCAGUCACACUGGAACUGAGACACGGUCCAGACUCCUGCGGGAGGCAGCAGUGGGGAAUAUUGGACGAUGGGCGAAAGCCUGAUCCAGCCAUGCCGCGUGUGUGAAGAAGGUCUUCGGAUUGUAAAGCACUUUAAGUUGGGAGGAAGGGCAGUAAGUUAAUACCUUGCUGUUUUGACGUUACCAACAGAAUAAGCACCGGCUAACUUCGUG
rnacentral:rRNA from 1 species